GAGAGAGAAAGUGAGUGAGAGAGUGAUUGAGCAAACGAGAGAGAAAGCGAGUUAGAGAGUGAGGGAGAGAGAGUGGUAGUGUGUGUGAUAUAUGUGGGGUGAGGUGAAUCUCUUGAUGAGCUGAUAUCAUGUCCACAGACACCAACACAAGCUGUGCUGUGGUAAUGUUAUGGUAAUGAUAUGGUAAUGCUAUGGUAAUCUGGUGGCAGUAUUCCACAUCACUAGAGAGAUGGGAAUUCUGGGAGGCCUUUCACCACUGGGUGGAGAGGAGGGACUUCCUGGUCUCAGAGUACACAGCAACAACAACACACACAAACACGCACGUGCGCACACACACACACACACACACACCAAAAUAAAUACACCAAAACAAAUACACGCACUUAUUCACACACACGCAAACACACAAACACAAUGGCUAAAAUAAGUACAUAUCCCCAUUUCAAUGGAUUAAAAAAACUAAUGUAAACAGUUUAGAGCAUGUAUUAAAAGUGCAGUGAAAUGCUUGCGUGCUAGCUCACUCAUAGGCUAACACUAAAUUGUAGAGCUUAUUCAUACCCACAUCUCAUAUAUGUUCCUGUCUGUCUGUCUGUCUGUCUGUCUGUCAGAGUUGCAGGAGAAGCAGAGUUAAGUUAUCCAGCCGUCGACAGGACACUUUGAAGACUGAAGACCAACUGGAUCAUGCCCUGACCUUCAACGACCCUCUCUGGCCCAUGCAGUGGGAACUGUUCAACCAUGGCCAAUACAGCUCCUGUCACUUUGACCUGAACGUGAUGCAAGUGUGGAGCAGGAACAGCACAGGGAAUGGAGUGGAGGUCAGCAUCAUCGAUGACGGUAUCGAUCUUCUGGACGGCACGGUGACGGACUCCGUGGAGGCCACAUCUCUGACCUUCAACAACGACUUCAUUGAUGUGUACGUGUGCUGCUGAGGCCCGCGGGACGACGGACAGGAAAUGGCCGGGGACACUCACACAGAUAGCACUGAGGCUGGGCAAGGGGCAAGGUAGGCAGCAUCUUUGUGUGGGCGUCUGGUAAUGGUGGGUUGGUGAACGAUCACUGUGGAGCAGACGGCUAUAUCAACAGUGUCUACAGCAUUGCCGUUGGGGCUGUCACUCACACGGGCAAGCCCGCCUUUUUAGGUGACCCCUGCCCUGCCGUUAUGGCUGUCACUCUAACUGGAGCCAGUUUGGGAAACACACUUCCCCUAGUGACAGUGUCCAAUCUAGGGGACGGUUGUGUCACCGACUUUGCGGGGACAUCCAGUGCUGCACCCAUCCCGGCUGGGAUUCCGGCCCUUGUCUUGGAGAACAAUCCUGACUUGACAUGGAGGGAUGUGCAGCAUCUGAUCGCCAUGACAGCCAAGGUCCCCGACCACAAAGAGCCAGGAUGGAGUGUCAACGGAGCAGGGGCUACAGUGGAGAGGGUCAAAAGUUUCACGUUCAUCUGAGUGCACAUCACUGAGGAUCUGAAAUGGUCCCUCCACACCAACACCCUGGCGAAGAAGGUGUAACAGCUUCUCUUCAACCUCAGGAGGCUGAGGAAAUUUGGCGUGGCCCCUAAGACUACAGAUGCACCAUUGAGAGCAUUCUGUCGGGCUGUUUCACCACCUGGUACGGCAACUGCAUCGCCCGCAACCGCAGAGCUCUCCAGAGGGGGGUGCAGUCAGCCUAAUGCAUCCUUGGGGGCACACUGCCUGCCCUCCAGGUCAUCUACAGCACCCGGUGUCACAGGCCAAAGAAAUAAUCAAGGAUCUCAGCCACUCGAUCCACGACCUGCUUACCCUGCUACCAUCUAGAAGGUGGAGACAGUACAGGUGCAUCAAAUCUGCACCUUAGACCCUGUUGCUAGCCGGCUACCACCCAGUACCCUGCCCUGCACCUUAGACACUGUUGCUAGCCGGCUACCACCCAGUACCCUGCCCUGCACCUUAGACCCUGUUGCUAGCCGGCUACCACCCGGUACACAACCCUGCACCUUAGACACUGUUGCUAGCCGGCUACCACCCGGUACACAACCCUGCACCUUAGAGGCUGCUGCCCUAUGUACAUAGAGUCAUUGAACACUGGUCACUUCAAUCAUGUUUACACAUCGUAUGUAGCUACUGCUGUACAUACUGUUUGUAUUUAAAUACUGUAAUCUCGAUUUAUCUCGUUCUAAUAUUUAUACUACCAUACAUAGGGUUUUAGUUACACUGUUUAUACACAUUGCAUAUUUAUUUAUUUAUAUACUAUAGCUCACUAUAGACAAAGCUAACUCUAAUAUAUCUACUGCUGUACAUAUCAUUCUUAGUAUACAUUGUGUAAAUAUCGUGUGUAUAUAUGUAUAGAUUGCAUUUGGAUUACUGUUACAGUGCUACUUGGGUUUUUGAUUGGAUGCGUUCCUACAUUUCUUGAUUUUGACAUUUUAUUUAAAACGUUAAAUAGUUGUAUUAUUUGUGUACUUGUUUGACGUUUUACUGCAUUGUUAAAAGCUAGCAACAUAAGUAUUUUGCUGCACCCGCUAUAACAUCUGUUAAACUGUUUACACGACCAAUAAACUUUGAUUUGAUUUUGAUUUGUGUGUGACACACAGCU